rnacentral:lncRNA from 1 species
GCUAUUUCCAAUAUCACAGUUUUGUUUGUUGGUGCCUUGAAAAGAUAAGAUUUAUUACUCAAGAGAAUGAAAUCCACUGAUAGGUUCACAGAAACAUGUUCCAUCUACAGCGUAAACUGGAAGAUUUUUCUGGAAGUGGCUGUUGGCCGACGCCAGGUGUUUGAAUAAAGACAGCAGCAUCUUGGUGUUAUACUCAGGAACAGCUUACCCCCUUCCAUAGGGUAAAAAGUGGCUUCUUAGGUCUGCAAGAAUUCGGGUUGUACUCGGGCUACUUUCCGGAAUUCUUUAGUGUGGGUCUUAGGGCACUGCAUCUCACACCAGCUGAUGGGAACCAUCUGGAUACCUGGAAGGGAAAAGCUGGUGGUGGAGCCCAGACCCCAAAGAUUUGCCUGCGACUCCUCUUUUAUGCUGGGUAUGAAGCUGAAGUGCCACCAAGCUUCCUACUGAACCUCAACUCAUAAAGAAAAAACUUUGUUCAUUCUACUGACUUAUGAAGUGAGUCCCGUUUCCUUGGAUUUAUAUAAGGAGAAUCAGGUGUGAGCCACUGCGCCCUGCCGACAAUUUACUCUUUCCUCCAAAGUUAUACUGCUUCCUUCUGUUUCUUAUUUUAUUGCACAGGCUGAAAUUUCCACAAAAAUGUUACAUAAUAGCGGCUAUGCUUGUUUUCUUCUAUUUUAAGUGAAUACUUGCAGAGUUUUCUCUUUGAGCAUGGUAUUGGCUGUUGGUAUAAGACAGAUAUUUUGAGCCUCAUCUUUUAUCAAUCUCUCCGUUGCUCACAAUGCUUCAGCUCUCCUGGCCUUCUUUCAGUUUCCCCAACUUACUAAAUUCUUCCCACUUUCAGAUCUCUCUUCAACCUAUUCUUUCUGCCAGAGCUGCACUCUCUCCACCCACCUGACUCUUACCUACUCUUUAGAUGAUUCAGCUUAAAUGUCACUUCUGCUGACUAGGAUGGGUUUGCCUGUUACAUGUUCUCAAGGUGCCCUGUAAUAUUCUUUCAAAGCACCACCACAUAUGUAACCAUAUGCUCAUUUGAGCAUUUAUUUGUUUACAAUUUGUGUCUGUGUCCUUUGAUAGCAGAAACCAAGUCAGCGCUGUGCCUGACACAUGAAAAUACUCAAGUGAUAUCUAUGAAAUGAACAAACUCAGGACUGUUAAGAACAUUCCCAACAAUGACUGAAUAGAAAGCCCCUUGAAUCAGACAGCUUAAGUUACUUACUCAAAGCAGAAUCAAAGUCAAGUUAGCCAGAACGUAACUGUUCUAAUUCUGAAUCCUC